rnacentral:tRNA from 1 species
UACAAAGUAGUAUACUAAAAGUACGUAGGGUUUUGGGCCCUAAAGUGGAAGGAGGCUCUUUCCUUUGUAG